GCUGUUCGCUUAUAGGAUGGCUGGAGCAUCCAUCAUCAUCCUUUGGGCAUCUGUUGCAUCCUGUAUUAUGUUUGGAAUUCUAAAAUGUGCAGGCAAGCUGAGGGUCAGCGCUAAAGAUGAACAACAAGGUUUGGAUAUUUCUCUCCACAAUGAGCCUGGAUAUCCUGUGAAGGGAUGGCAGACAAUGGUUGUAUCAGUCAGAGGGAAUGCCAUGUAAAUUCAUCAGUGUUGUUAUUUAUAAUUUCAGCGAUAAGGUUACAAGCAAAUAACACAAUUUUCCAACAGCUUCUAAUGUACAUUAAUUCACUGCAAAAUGGAAUAAAACAGAAAAAUGCAUAUCAUCAUUUA